rnacentral:rRNA from 1 species
GGAGGACCGAACCGACUACCUUUGAAAAGUUAGCGGAUGACUUGUGGAUCGGAGUGAAAGGCUAAUCAAGCUCGGAGAUAGCUGGUUCUCCUCGAAAGCUAUUUAGGUAGCGCCUCGGACGAAUACUACUGGGGGUAGAGCACUGUUAUGGCUAGGGGGUCAUCGCGACUUACCAAACCAUUGCAAACUCCGAAUACCAGUACGUACUAUCCGGGAGACACACGGCGGGUGCUAACGUCCGUCGUGAAAAGGGAAACAACCCAGACCCACAGCUAAGGUCCCAAAUUCACUGCUAAGUGGAAAACGAUGUGGAAAGGCAUAGACAGCCAGGAGGUUGGCUUAGAAGCAGCCACCCUUUAAAGAAAGCGUAAUAGCUCACUGGUCGAGUCGGUCUGCGCGGAAGAUUUAACGGGGCUAAGCAGUGAACCGAAGCUUGGGGUGCGUAAAACUUCGGUUUUAUGCGCGGUAGAGGAGCGUUCCGUAAGCCUGCGAAGGUGGAUUGAGAAGUCUGCUGGAGGUAUCGGAAGUGCGAAUGCUGACAUGGGAA